rnacentral:rRNA from 1 species
GACGAACGCUGGCGGCGUGCCUAAUACAUGCAAGUCGAGCGCAGGAAAUCGACGGAACCCUUCGGGGGGAAGUCGACGGAAUGAGCGGCGGACGGGUGAGUAACACGUAAAGAACCUGCCCUCAGGUCUGGGAUAACCACGAGAAAUCGGGGCUAAUACCGGAUGGGUCAUCGGACCGCAUGGUCCGAGGAUGAAAGGCGCUCCGGCGUCGCCUGGGGAUGGCUUUGCGGUGCAUUAGCGAGUUGGUGGGGUAAUGGCCCACCAAGGCGACGAUGCAUAGCCGACCUGAGAGGGUGAUCGGCCACACUGGGACUGAGACACGGCCCAGACUCCUACGGGAGGCAGCAGUAGGGAAUCUUCCACAAUGGACGAAAGUCUGAUGGAGCAACGCCGCGUGAACGAUGAAGGCCUUCGGGUCGUAAAGUUCUGUUGUAAGGGAAGAACAAGUGCCGCAGGCAAUGGCGGCACCUUGACGGUACCUUGCGAGAAAGCCACGGCUAACUACGUGCCAGCAGCCGCCGUAA